GCUCCAUAUACAUUGUUAUCUCAUUCUGUUCUCAUAGCAAUUCUAUAAGGGAUUCAGAACCUGCGGAUGUGGAGGGCCAGAGGGCUGAAUUUGCAAGUUGGGCAAUGGGGAAAGCCUUCACAAAGGAGAAAGCCUUUGGGCUGGAAUUGGAGGAGUAGGAGUCAAUAGAGAGAGAAGAGAGUAAAGGGCAAGGCCAUCAUUCCAGGUUUAGGGAGCAAGUACAAAGACACAGAGAAAUGAAAAGGCUUGGCCUGUUUGGAGAAUGUCAAGCUGUCUGGGGUUGAGAGAAAGACAUUCUAACAAGGCUUCCAUUAAAGAGGCUAGAUUUGCUGCUUGGACAUUUUCUAGCUCUUCUGAGACAACUUUUUGUUGAGUUAAGCGAAAAUGAAUGAAAAUCAGAUGGACCAUAUUUCUCUUGAAUGCACACGGGCUUAAAAACGAAGGGGAAAAAGAACUUGACAGAAUGUGUCUUGGCUUUUGCCAAACCCAAAGUAUUUGAAAAAUCACACAGUACACAUCUCGAACCCAAAAACAUGCCUGGAUUCUACCACCCCUAACUGCAGCUGCAGCCAUUUAAUAAAAUGAAUUGUGUACAAGAAAAUGGGGUCCGAAUGGAGUGAGCUUCAUUAGAGAGAAUGACUGAUGUAGGGCGGUUGGCUGGUGCCCUUGAGAAAGUACAUAUCUCAUUGCCCUUGCAGAGAAAGAGAGAGGCCCAAUGUAGAGCUUUCUAACCACGCUAUUGAAUCAAGCUCUCUUGUAGAGAACAACUAAAACCCCACAUUAUUUAACUUUAUUGUAUCAUGUGUAGGAAGAAUUCAGCAUCUCUUGUUUCUCUCCCACUCUGUUUCUCAGUUUUACACUGUGAAGUAUGACAAUGAAAAGAAACAUGUUUUACAUCAGUCUUGAUUCACAUAAAUGGAUACCAAAUAAG
rnacentral:lncRNA from 10 species